GCAUAUUGGAGAUAACAUCUGUAGAAAUUGGAGUUGUGGCGGUUAAGUCUAUUAAGAGCAACUACUAUUUAGCCAUGAACAAAAAAGGAAAAGUCUACGGCUCUAAGGAGUUUAAUAGCGAUUGCAAAUUGAAGGAAAGAAUAGAAGAAAAUGGAUAUAACACAUACGCGUCCUUAAAUUGGAAGCACAAUGGAAGGCAAAUGUUUGUGGCCCUGAAUGGGAGGGGAACCACAAAGAGAGGACAGAAAACAAGAAGGAAAAACACUUCAGCUCACUUUCUUCCUAUGGUAGUCAUGUCAUAGAUGAACAAACUAAUUUUUUGAUGUGGUUGAACCAAAGGCUGUUAUGUCAAGAAUAUUUGGUAAUUCUCUUAAAAGGUAGAUGCGGAGAAGUAGCACAGACAUCUGCAUGUUUGAAAUGAGAGCAGGGGAAGCCUUUGAAGGUUUUGUACUUAUUGCUGGCACAUGAAAUACCUUUAUUUAGUUCGUUGUCAUAUCUUAUAAUCAAAAUGAAGCUGGAUCAAAGGGGAUGGAAUUUAUUGCCAGUGUGAACUUUUUUUUUUUUUUUUUUUUUUUUCACUGCAACAGACCUUGAUGGACAUAAGACAAUCUGUUGCGUGAUCUUCAUGGGGAAUGCUAUUUAUGGAAUACUAACUCAUAUCAAAGUCCUUAAUUGCUCAUUCAAGCCUAAUGAUUCAAUGAACAGUUAGACACACAAGCAUUUACUGGAAGCACUUGGGUCAUAUGCACAAAUAAUGACAUUUCUGGAGAAGCCUUGUGGACGAAUGGAUAGGAUAAGCAAAGUAGUGUAUAACUGUUCUAACAAAAUGAAUAGUAUGGUUUGCUUGUAUGUCCUAAAUUCAUUUCUUUUUAUUUCUCUCUAAGUUAUUUAUUUAAUAGGAUGUUAAAUAUCUUUUUUAUUUGAAAUGUUUCUUCAUUUGCUUCUUUCUUAUUUUCCCUUUUUCUUAGUACUUCAGAGAGAGUUUGAUAGAGUAAAAUGUCAGAACCUCAAAAGUACUCAGAGAAUAGGUAUUAGACAAGGCUUUAAAGGCAGAAUUUAGAGUGUAUACUCCAUUUUUUUCCUAAACUGUCUUGCACUUAAGCAUAAGACCAAACAAGCAGUGCUUGGAUUUAUGGUAUUGGGUGUCUUUAUAUUGGAGAAAUUUUUGUACUUAUCAGCACUCAAGAAAAACCUUCAAGAAAUACUUUGUUCAAAGGGUCUUUCUGCUAUUUUGAAAUUGAGAGAAGGGGCCACAUCUGUACUUGGGUGUCAAUGCAUCUGUGUUUAUAUUCAUCUGACUUUGAUUUCAGUUUGGAGCUGGGAUCUAACACACUGCUAUCAGUGCGAUAUUUUGCAGCACACGCUGGGCUGGAACCUGAUGUGGUCAGCCCUGUUAAAAUCACUGAGACUGCAAGUGUAAAAAUAAAACAGUAGUGUGUAAUUCCUAAGUGUAACGUUUGGCCGCUGAAAGGAAAGCAAGAAGGCAAUACAGUCCUGCACACCUUAUUCAUUUGAUACUCUCAUUCAACCCAUUUGCCUUUGGUACCAACCUGAAGAAUCACAGGCAUAUAGUGGGAGUGAUACCUAACUAAGGGCUGCAAGACAGGAGAUCCAAAAUCAUGCUCAUGUGUUUUUCAGAGAUUAUUACUCACGUGUAUAUUAUAUAUGAGAGCCAACCAAAAAGCUGUGCUGGUUUCCAGCUUUAGCAUGCCUUUCAUAACCAUCACAGUAACUGAAGGCUCAAAAUACAUAAUAUCCAGCACAUUUUUAUGAAGUGUUAUUCAUCCCGUGGCUUAACUUGAGCAACUGCAGUAUAAUAAAGUUGAGCAUAAUAUGAAGUCUGUUCAAUUAAAGGUACAUAAGGUUUGUUUUAUAUUUUGCUUUACUCAGUAAUUUUAGAGAGCUCUGGAUAGCUCACCUGUGUAACCAUAUUGACAUUCAUUUUGUUAGAGCAGAUAAAUAGAAAACAGUACAUCAAACAAUUUGUACCACUGUCUUCACAUUGUAUUCCACUAAAUAAAUAAAUAAGCCUUUGCAGUGUCUUUAGUAAGAAACAAAAGUAGUAUAAUAUUAUUUUGUUUUAAAUACUUUAACUGAUAACUAUAAGAUUAUAUUGAUGCUGCAGUUUAUCUUCAAUAUUUCUCGUUGUGAAAAAGUUGGUUUUAUUUUUAUUGUUUGGAGACUGUAUUUUGGUACAAAGGAGAGCCUUGCUUAAUGUGUCUUUUUGAGAAUGUUUAACCUCUAUAAAGGCUGGUGUUGUUGGAAUCUUCUAUAACUUAUUUAAGUCAAUGUUUAACCAGCACUUCAAUCUUACUCUGUUAUUUAAAUACUAGCUCUUUUAAAAAAAAAAAAACAAAAACAAAAAAAAAAGCUUUCCCAUAAAAUACAAAAUGGUCAGAUUAUAUUUCCUGUCCUUAAAUAAUGUCAGCUGUUUUAAAACUAGGAAUUCAUUGAAAGACAAUAUAUUUUUAGUUGAUAGCUGAUGUUGUAUUUCAUGGUACUUUAUCUCCAGUUUUCUUCUUCACAAAUGACAUUUUUCUAGAAAGAGAAAUAAGAAUUUCAGAUUUUAAAUGUAAUUGCAGAUCACAGCGAAACUUAACUACCACGAUAAAAGCGAGUUUCUGUUGUUCAAAUUUGUAAUCAGUAAUUAAAACUGACAAGACAUAAUGGACCACCCGUACUGAACCUUCAGUAUGAGUUUGGAUGAAUGCAGUAUU